rnacentral:rRNA from 1 species
UACGUAGGGUGCAAGCGUUGUCCGGAAUUAUUGGGCGUAAAGAGCUCGUAGGCGGUUUGUCGCGUCUGCUGUGAAAACUCGGGGCUUAACUCCGGGCCUGCAGUGGGUACGGGCAGACUAGAGUGCGGUAGGGGAGACUGGAAUUCCCGGUGUAGCGGUGGAAUGCGUAGAGAUCGGGAAGAACAUCAGUGGCGAAGGCGGCCUGCUGGGCUGUUGCUGACGCUGAGGCGCGACAGCGUGGGGAGCAAACAGG